AGUAAGGAAUAUUGGUCAAUGGACGCAAGUCUGAACCAGCCAUGCCGCGUGGAGGAUUAAGGCCCUUGGGUUGUAAACUCCUUUUAUCUGGGAAGAAAUGCAUUUUUUCUAAAGUGCUUGACGGUACCAGAGGAAUAAGCACCGGCUAACUCCGUGCCAGCAGCCGCGGUAAUACGGAGGGUGCAAGCGUUAUCCGGAUUUACUGGGUUUAAAGGGUGCGUAGGCGGAUAGGUAAGUCAGUGGUGAAAUCUCCGAGCUUAACUCGGAAACUGCCGUUGAUACUAUUUAUCUUGAAUAUUGUGGAGGUAAGCGGAAUAUGUCAUGUAGCGGUGAAAUGCUUAGAUAUGACAUGGAACACCAAUUGCGAAGGCAGCUUACUACACAGUUAUUGACGCUGAGGCACGAAAGCGUGGGGAUCAAACAGGAUUAGAUACCCUGGUAGUCCACGCCC
rnacentral:rRNA from 1 species